GUUCCUACGGGGGGCAGCAGUGAGGAAUAUUGGUCAAUGGACGAGAGUCUGAACCAGCCAAGUAGCGUGAAGGAUGACUGCCCUAUGGGUUGUAAACUUCUUUUAUAUGGGAAUAAAACGUUCCACGUGUGGGAUUUUGUAUGUACCAUAUGAAUAAGGAUCGGCUAACUCCGUGCCAGCAGCCGCGGUAAUACGGAGGAUCCGAGCGUUAUCCGGAUUUAUUGGGUUUAAAGGGUGCGUAGGCGGAAUAUCAAGUCAGCGGUAAAAAUUCGGGGCUCAACCCCGUCGUGCCGUUGAAACUGAUG
rnacentral:rRNA from 1 species